rnacentral:ncRNA from 2 species
CAUCCGCAUGACAGGUGUUCGGCCGGGGUCAAACCCGGUCGUUCUGAGAUUAUACUGUCAUAACUUGAUCUAGAUAAUACUAGCGAAAGGACAUGCGUUGCAUUGAUU